rnacentral:lncRNA from 1 species
AUGACAUUAGCUUAUAUACAAGUCAACACGCCGGUUCUGAUGCUUCCAAAUUCUACACCUCAGUUCUGGUCUUGCCAACAGAAGAAGUUUUGCCCAGCUUUGAAGACAACCACCAGUAGCCCUGGGAUCCUCUCCUCUGCAGACCAACCACCUUUCCCUCUUCCCCACACAGUCCGAGGGCUGCAUGCUAGUCAGGGAAUGUUCCCGCCCAAAGGCGGUGCCCAGUCCUCUGCCCAGCACUCCAGGUGCAUUCCAGUCAAAGAUCCUGUGACCUUACGUGAUCAUUUCCUGAACAUGAUUCACUAUUCAUACAGCCCAGUGUUGCCCCAGGUCUCAGCCACGACACUGCAUUGUAAGAAAGUAGCAAGGUGGGAUCAACCAAAAAACCCUUGGUGUUUUCCACUCACACGUGCUGCUAGGCCAGCUGUCCCCUGUUGAAUUGGAUGUCAAGGACGGGUGACUUGGAGAGAAGGCGAGGGCAUUCUGGUGAAGGGAGGAGAUCAGGCAAUGAGGCUGUUCAGGGAACACUGAGUGAGUAGCUAGCUAACAGAUAGCAAAAUGCACUCUGAUGCUAUAGUAAUUCAAACAGAUUUAUACCAGCACAAAUAGAGCCAAGCAGAACUGAGAAACAGAGCUAUGGAAAUUAAGUAUUUGUUAAAGAUUUUUUUUCAAUUUAGUGGGGCAGGUGUGAACUUUUCAAUAUGUGCUAUUGGAAAACUGGGCUAUCCAUUUGUCUGAAAUGAUGAUUCGAUGCAUUUCUGUCAUUAUAUAUCCACACUAAUUUCAGAUAUAUUAAAUACCAAGAUGUUAUAUUGUAUAAAUAUAAAUACCAUAUUAUGUAAAUAUUACUUGCAUACGAAAAAGACAGUUUUUAGUGAAGGGAGAGAGCUUCCUUAAAAAAAGGCUUAAGACCCAUAAUAUUAAUUUUUUUUUUUCAACGUUUACUUAUUUUUGGGACAGAGCGACACAGAGCAUGAACGGGGGAGGGGCAGAGAGAGAGGGAGACACAGAAUCGGAAACAGGCUCCAGGCUCUGAGCCAUCAGCCCAGAGCCUGACGCGGGGCUCGAACUCACGGACCGCGAGAUCGUGACCUGGCUGAAGUCGGACGCUUAACCAACCAAGCCACCCAG